UACGUAGGUGGCAAGCGUUGUCCGGAUUCACUGGGCGUAAAGCGCGCGCAGGCGGUCUUCUACGUCUGGGGUGAAAACCCGGGGCUCAACCCCGGGACUGCCUUGGAUACGGGGAGACUUGAGGAUCGGAGAGGCAAGGGGAAUUCCACGUGUAGCGGUGAAAUGCGUAGAGAUGUGGAGGAACACCGGUGGCGAAGGCGGGUCUCUGGGCCGAAACUGACGCUGAGGAGCGAAAGCGUGGGGAGCAAACAGG
rnacentral:rRNA from 1 species